ACGGUAACAUUUCUAGCUUGCUAGAAGAUGACGAGUGGCGGACGGGUGAGUAAUGCUUGGGAACUUGCCUUUGCGAGGGGGAUAACAGUUGGAAACGACUGCUAAUACCGCAUAAUGUCUUCGGACCAAACGGGGCUUUUAGCUCCGGCGCAAAGAGAGGCCCAAGUGAGAUUAGCUAGUUGGUAAGGUAACGGCUUACCAAGGCGACGAUCUCUAGCUGUUCUGAGAGGAAGGUCAGCCACACUGGGACUGAGGCACGGCCCAGACUCCUACGGGAGGCAGCAGUGGGGAAUAUUGCACAAUGGGGGAAACCCUGAUGCAGCCAUGCCGCGUGUGUGAAGAAGGCCUUCGGGUUGUAAAGCACUUUCAGUUGUGAGGAAAAGUUAGUAGUUAAUACCUGCUAGCCGUGACGUUAACAACAGAAGAAGCACCGGCUAACUCCGUGCCAGCAGCCGCGGUAAUACGGAGGGCGCGAGCGUUAAUCGGAAUUACUGGGCGUAAAGCGCACGCAGGCGGUUUGUUAAGCUAGAUGUGAAAGCCCCGGGCUCAACCUGGGAUGGUCAUUUAGAACUGGCAGACUAGAGUCUUGGAGAGGGGAGUGGAAUUCCAGGUGUAGCGGUGAAAUGCGUAGAUAUCUGGAGGAACAUCAGUGGCGAAGGCGACUCCCUGGCCAAAGACUGACGCUCAUGUGCGAAAGUGUGGGUAGCGAACAGGGAUUAGAUACCCUGGUAGUCCACACC
rnacentral:rRNA from 1 species